UGAUGCUGCCCAUCUUCUUGGGCGUUUCCUCCCUAGACUUGGGCCGUAUCAGAUUGCUGGUACGGCCUUUUUUUUGUCCGGA
rnacentral:sRNA from 1 species